CCUACGGGAGGCAGCAGUAGGGAAUCUUUCACAAUGGGCGAAAGCCUGAUGGAGCAACGCCGCGUGCAGGAUGAAGGCCUUCGGGUUGUAAACUGCUUUUAUAAGCGAGAAAUAUGAUGGUAACUUAUGAAUAAGGAUCGGCUAACUACGUGCCAACAGCCGCGGUCAUACGUAGGAUCCGAGCAUUAUCCGGAGUGACUGGGUGUAAAGAGUUGCGUAGGUGGCAUAAUAAGUAGCUAGUGAAAUCUGGUGGCUCAACCAUUCAGACUAUUAGCUAAACUGUUAAGCUCGAGAACGUUAGGGGUAACUGGAAUUUCUAGUGUAGGAGUGAAAUCCGUAGAUAUUAGAAGGAACACCAAUAGCGUAGGCAGGUUACUGGGACGGUUCUGACACUAAGGCACGAAAGCGUAGGGAGCAAACGGGAUUAGAUACCCCUGUAGUC
rnacentral:rRNA from 1 species